rnacentral:snoRNA from 1 species
GUGGCUCUGAAUCAAGACUAACAGUUUGCUGAAGCGGUUGAUUUCCAGCUGAGGCCUAACGAAUGUCUCUCUGUUUAGAAUUUCCAUUGCAGAAACUCUAGAAUGUAACGCUUGAUUCAUUAGAAAGGAGCAUCU